UGAAAUUGUGUUGCUCUGUAACAUGUACAAUGUCAAAUAAAGUUGAUUCUGAUGUUUGCUAUUGGCUGAGAACCAGAUCAUGUGACGUUUUGGGAUCAUCUUGUGACACAAACAAGCACUGUUAGCCCCGCCCCUUUUAUAAAAACUAGCACCUCUGUUUAAUAUUUUUAUAUAAAGAAGAAGAAGACGCGGCGGACAGAAAGUGACCACAGGCUGUUUCCGGUGUCAUGGCGGCUCUGUGUUGGGGUCGCAUGGCUGUUUCUUUGCUUUCCUGAAACUUCAUCCAAACAAGAAACAAACCGAGAAGAAUGGGAUCAAACUGAAAAAGACGGCAGUGGAAGACGACGACGCCGUCGUGAGGCUUGAUGCACAGCUGAUAAAGGCCUGCGGAGGGCGCACCGCACACAAGUACGUCUGAGAUUAA
rnacentral:lncRNA from 1 species